UGGAAAUCCGUGUCUUUGAGCAUCAUAAAGAAGUUGUGCAUCUGCUAAAAUCGGUUUCCAAUUGAACAUACUUCUUUCUGAAAUAAAUAUUAUAGUUUGAUUACAUUUUAGGGUGUCUGAGGAGUAAACAGAAACAUAUUUUGACUUGUUGAAAAAAAGUUUAGGGCUAGAUUUUCGGAUUCCUUUCUCUGCAAGUCGAACGAGUGGAUUACUCAAAUCGAUGGCACCAACGAAACAGACUUUUUGGGAUAUAAAGAAGGAUUUUAUCUAACAAAACGACACUACAUGUUGUAGCUGGGACCCUUUGGAUGACAAAUCAGAGGAAGAUUUUCAAAAACAUUCAGUUUCUUGAUGGACACAGACUUUCCAGUAGAGAGAAGAGCUCCAUCAGUCGAGCUUCCUUCACACACCAGAACUACACCAAGUGAAGAGAUGAAUACUUCAACUCCAGCUACCAACUCUUCCCUUCCUGAAGAUCUACUGGCUGUCUACUUUUCCCAAAUCAAAUCAAUCAGCACUGCUUCCUUUGCAAUCAACAUCAUCCUGGGUCUCCCCACUAAUGUCUACAUUCAAUGGCUAAUAGUGACUGAAGCGGGGACUGAAGCGGUCCUCUUCUGCGUGUCUGCUAUCUUUUAUUUCAUCAGUCUACACGACCCCUCAAUCGUUGUAUUGUACUUCAUGUUAUUUUCUUAUUGUUUUCUUUUCACCAGUCGUCCCCUGUUUCAAAGCUGUAUCUGUGUAGAGCGCUACCUGGCGGUGGUCCACCCUGUGGUCUACCUGAAGUACAAACCCCUGAGAUACAGGGUGGGGUGUUGUGGUGUUGUCUGGCUGAUGGUGCUUGGGUCCUGUCUGUUCUUUAUGCUGGUGAAUGAAAGAUCUGUUGUAUUUUAUGUUUACUGGGGAGAGGUUCUGAUGUUGUUUUUGUUAAAGCUGUUCUGCUG
rnacentral:lncRNA from 1 species